GUGUGACGUCAUCACUCCGCGUCCAGAGUUGGGUCAAGUAAAUAGUUCCGCCGUGUCGCGAUGGACUCAAACAAGGACGAAGCGGAGCGUUGCAUCAAAAUCGCUCUGAAUGCAGUCAGCAACAACCAGCCGGACAGAGCCAAGAAGUUUCUAGAGAAGGCCCAGCGUCUGUUCCCGACAGACCAAGCCCAAAGUUUAUUGGACACGCUAGCGCAGAAUGGGAAGCCUCCGGACCAGAAUGGGCGACCUGUCCACGGAGAAAGAACCUCCCCGAGGCAGCGUCAUCACAGAGAGGACGCCGAAACGUCUGCGCAGGGCCCUGCAGAUUCGACCAAACCUUACACCGCUGAGCAGAUGGAGGCGGUCAGGAAGAUUAAGGGCUGUAAAGAUUACUACCAAAUUCUGGGAGUAGAAAAGACUGCCUCUGAGGAAGAUCUUAAAAAAGCGUACCGGAAGCUGGCGCUGAAAUUUCACCCUGAUAAAAACCAUGCGCCGGGAGCCACCGAUGCAUUUAAAGCCAUUGGCAACGCUUACGCCGUGCUGAGCAACGCUGAGAAGCGGCGGCAGUACGACCAGUACGGGGAGGAGCGCUCGCACCCGAGCAGACAGCGGCAGCAUCGCGACUUUGAAGCCGAUAUUUCACCCGAGGACCUCUUCAACAUGUUCUUUGGUGGAGGCUUCCCAUCCAGUAACGUACACGUUUACAGAAAUGGAAGAAUGCACUUUGCGCACCACAACAGGCAAGAAAGAAGAGAGCAGCAGAGAGAUGGAGGCCUGGCUCUGUUUGUCCAGUUGAUGCCCAUCCUCAUCCUCAUCCUGGUGUCUGCGCUAAGCCAGCUCAUGAUCACGCAUCCUCCUUACAGCCUUAGCUACCAUCCGUCAGCAGGUUACGUUCACAAACGGCAUACGUCCCACCUGAAGGUGCCUUUCUACGUGGGCGAGCGCUUUAGCCACGAAUUCACCGGAGCCAACCUGAAGAAUCUGGAGAGAACUGUGGAGGAGGACUACAUCUCCAACCUCAGGAACAAGUGCUGGAAGGAGAAGCAGCACAAGGAAGGCCUAAUGUACCGCGCACGCUAUUUCGGGGACUCUGAGUUGUACAAGAGCGCAGAGAGGAUGGGGACUCCCAGCUGCAACCGGUUAUCUGAGAUUCAGCUCAUACUGGACGGUUAGAAACCCUUUGGACAAUUACGGAUUUCCACUGGCGCGCUAUAGUGCAAAGACAGAAGGAGUUGGAACACUCGCUCCGCUGUGUGACCAUAGAACUUUGGCCAAGAAAAUAUAAGUGGUUUCCUAAAGCGGCAGCCAGGUUUUUUUGGUACUUGAAUCAUUUUGGAGGACCGCUUUCAGGGCUUCACCCUUCCAAAUUGAAGUGCUUCUGUGCAGCAAACCCAAGAGAAUCCAAACAGGCCUUACGCACUGUGGGCAGCAGCAGACCUCACCUGGGAACCACUCGGCUGAUUUAGCGUACAACAUGCAAGGGGCUUUGGCCGAAGUUUUCUUCCUCUCCCACUUGUCUUUGGGAUGGCGUGGGUGCGCCGGUCGUCUGUUUUAAAUAGUCAAUGAAGCUGCUAAGAUUUUGAGCCCCCCCCCCCUUUUUUUUUUUUUUUUUUUUUUUGAGAACCUCAACCGACCUUCUCAUCGACUCAUGUCUGAGCCACUCAUUUGUUUUGUUUGUGUUUUUUCUAGUGUAAAUACUGAGUAGACUUUUUAACAGUGCAGAAUUUCUCACAGGUAACAUCAUUUAUUAAUGUUAAGUGACUUUGCUCGUAGCCCGUCAAGAUCAUUGAAAAAAAUUAUUGCACAGGUAAAUCUUAUUUAUUAAAUUAACAAGCAAAGAGUUGUAUAAUGGUUUUCUUUUGAAAUAAAUUUUGUCUGGAAUCAUU